CACGUAGGGGGCAAGCGUUGUCCGGAUUUAUUGGGCGUAAAGAGCUCGUAGGUGGUUCGAUAAGUCGGGUGUGAAAACUCCAGGCUCAACCUGGAGACGCCACCCGAUACUGUCGUGACUAGAGUCCAGUAGGGGAGCGUGGAAUUCCUGGUGUAGCGGUGAAAUGCGCAGAUAUCAGGAGGAACACCAGUGGCGAAGGCGGCGCUCUGGGCUGGCACUGACACUGAGGAGCGAAAGCGUGGGGAGCGAACAGG
rnacentral:rRNA from 1 species